UGUAGAGCUGUAGUAGGUAUGGUUGGGAGAGAGAGAGAGAGACAGGCUGUAGAGCUGUAGUAGGUAUGGUUGGGAGAGAGAGAGAGAGACAGGCUGUAGAGCUGUAGUAGGUAUGGUUGGGAGAGAGAGAGAGAGACAGGCUGUAGAGCUGUAGUAGGUAUGGUUGGGAGAGAGAGAGAGAGACAGGCUGUAGAGCUGUAGUAGGUAUGGUUGGGAGAGAGAGAGAGAGACAGGCUGUAGAGCUGUAGUAGGUAUGGUUGGGAGAGAGAGAGAGAGACAGGCUGUAGAGCUGUAGUAGGUAUGGUUGGGAGAGAGAGAGAGAGACAGGCUGUAGAGCUGUAGUAGGUAUGGUUGGGAGAGAGAGAGAGAGACAGGCUGUAGAGCUGUAGUAGGUAUGGUUGGGAGAGAGAGAGAGACAGGCUGUAGAGCUGUAGUAGGUAUGGUUGGGAGAGAGAGAGAGAGACAGGCUGUAG